GUGCGUAACGCGUAUGCAACYUACCUUUCACAGGGGGAUAGCCCGAAGAAAUUUGGAUUAAUACCCCAUAAYAUUGYGAGAUGGCAUCAUUUWGCAAUUAAAACUAYGGUGGUGAGAGAUGGGCAUGCGUCCUAUUAGCUAGUUGGAGUGGUAACGGCACCCCAAGGCUACGAUAGGUAGGGGUCCUGAGAGGGAGAUCCCCCACACUGGUACUGAGACAGGGACCAGACUCCUACGGGAGGCAGCAGUGAGGAAUAUUGGUCAAUGGUCGGAAGACUGAACCAGCCAUGCCGCGUGCAGGAAGAAUGCCUUAUGGGUUGUAAACUGCU
rnacentral:rRNA from 1 species